rnacentral:tRNA from 2 species
GCGAAAGUGGCGGAACUGGCAGACGCGCAAGGCUCAGGACCUUGUGGCACUUAACAUGCCGUGGGGGUUCGAGUCCCCCCUUUCGCACCA